GUGAAUCCCUGGGCUUAACCCAGGAAGUGCAUCUGAAACUAUUUGACUUGAGUACGGGAGAGGGAAGCGGAAUUCCUGGUGUAGGGGUGAAAUCCGUAGAUAUCAGGAGGAACACCGGUGGCGAAGGCGACUUCCUGGACCGAUACUGACGCUGAUACGCGAAAGCAUGGGGAGCAAACAGGAUUAGAUACCCUGGUAGUCCAUGCCGUAAACGUUGGGCACUUGGUGUAGCGGGUAUUGACCCCUGCAGUGCCAAGGGCGAAUUCCACAGUGGAUA
rnacentral:rRNA from 1 species